UGAGGAGCUAAUCAGGAUGUGCCCACA
rnacentral:piRNA from 1 species